UGCAGUCGACGGUGAAGCAGAGCUUGCUCUGUGGAUCAGUGGCGAACGGGUGAGUAACACGUGAGCAACCUGCCCCUGACUCUGGGAUAAGCGCUGGAAACGGCGUCUAAUACCGGAUAUGAGCUGCGAUCGCAUGGUCAGCAGUUGGAAAGAUUUUUCGGUCUGGGAUGGGCUCACGGCCUAUCAGCUUGUUGGUGAGGUAAUGGCUCACCAAGGCGUCGACGGGUAGCCGGCCUGAGAGGGUGACCGGCCACACUGGGACUGAGACACGGCCCAGACUCCUACGGGAGGCAGCAGUGGGGAAUAUUGCACAAUGGGCGAAAGCCUGAUGCAGCAACGCCGCGUGAGGGAUGACGGCCUUCGGGUUGUAAACCUCUUUUAGCAGGGAAGAAGCGAAAGUGACGGUACCUGCAGAAAAAGCGCCGGCUAACUACGUGCCAGCAGCCGCGGUAAUACGUAGGGCGCAAGCGUUAUCCGGAAUUAUUGGGCGUAAAGAGCUCGUAGGCGGUUUGUCGCGUCUGCUGUGAAAUCCCGAGGCUCAACCUCGGGUCUGCAGUGGGUACGGGCAGACUAGAGUGCGGUAG
rnacentral:rRNA from 1 species